rnacentral:rRNA from 1 species
GUACCCGCUGAACUUAAGCAUAUCACUUAGCGGAGGAAAAGAAACCAACAGGGAUUGCCCUAGUAACGGCGAGUGAAGCGGCAAGAGCCCAGAUUUGAAAUCUAGCCUCUAUUUUCUAGGGGUUCGAGUUGUAAUCUGCAGAGGGUGUUCUAGGUAUAGCUCACUACUAAGUGCCCUGGGACGGGACGCCAUAGAGGGUGAGAGCCCCAUGCGGUAGUGUAGUAAGCCUUUAAAGAACCCCUUCAGAGAGUCGCGUAGUUUGGGAAUGCUGCGCAAAGUGGGAGGUAUACCCCUUCUAAGGCUAAAUACUGGCCAGAGACCGAUAGCGCACAAGUAGAGUGAUCGAAAGAUGAAAAGCACCUUGGAAAGGGGGUUAAACAGUACGUGAAAUUGCUAAAGGGGAAGCGCCUAUCCUCAGACUCGGGCUCUGUGGCUAUCACCUAACCUGAGAAUGGCUGGGGUAUUUCACAGGGCUUGGGCUAGCGCCGGCUAGUUGAUUACUGGAGUGUAAAGGUACUGGGAAUGUAGCCACUCCUCUGGAGUGGUGUUAUAUCCUAGUGCGUAAUGCUCUAGAGCUAGCCGAGGUCCUCGCCUUCGGGCAAGGGCGCUGGCAUAAUGGGGAUUGGCGGGCCCGUCUUGAAACACGGACC